ACGUUAGCGGCGGACGGGUGAGUAACACGUGGGUGACCUACCUAUAAGACUGGGAUAACUUCGGGAAACCGGAGCUAAUACCGGAUAAUAUUUCGAACCGCAUGGUUCGAUAGUGAAAGAUGGUUUUGCUAUCACUUAUAGAUGGACCCGCGCCGUAUUAGCUAGUUGGUAAGGUAACGGCUUACAAGGCGACGAUACGUAGCCGACCUGAGAGGGUGAUCGGCCACACUGGAACUGAGACACGGUCCAGACUCCUACGGGAGGCAGCAGCG
rnacentral:rRNA from 1 species